GUGACACGCAAGCAGUAGCAGAGAACCUCCUCUAGGGGUGGCAUGACACGCAGGCAGUAGCAGAGAACCUCCUCUAGGGUGGCAUGACACCCAGGCAGAAGCAGAGAACCUCCUCUAAGGGUGGCAUGACACUCAGGCAGUAGCAGAGAACUUCCUCUAGGGUGGCAUGACACUCAGGCAGUAGCAGAGAACCUCCUCUAGGGUGGCAUGACACCCAGGCAGAAGCAGAGAACCUCCUCUAGGGGUGGCAUGACACCCAGGCAGUAGCAGAGAACCUCCUCUAAGGGGUGGCAUGACACCCAGGCAGUAGCAGAGAACUUCCUCUAGGGUGGCAUGACACCCAGGCAGUAGCAGAGAACUUCCUCUAGGAAAGCAUGACACCCAGGCAGUAGCAGAGAACCUCCUCUAGGGUGGCAUGACACCCAGGCAGAAGCAGAGAACCUCCUCUAGGGGUGGCAUGACACCCAGGCAGUAGCAGAGAACUUCAUCUAGGGUAGCAUGACACCCAGGCAGUAGCAGAGAACUUCAUCUAGGGUGGCAUGACACCCAGGCAGUAGCAGAGAACUUCAUCUAGGGUAGCAUGACACCCAGGCAGUAGCAGAGAACCUCCUCUAAGGGUGGCAUGACACUCAGGCAGAAGCAGAGAACCUCCUCUAGGGUAGAAUGACACCCAGGCAGUAGCAGAGAACCUCCUCUAGGGGUGGCAUGACACCCAGGCAGUAGCAGAGAACCUCUAAGGGGUGGCAUGACACCCAGGGAGUAGCAGAGAACCUCCUCUAGGGGUGACAUGACACCCAGGCAGUAGCAGAGAACCUCCUCUAGGGGUGACAUGACACCCAGGCAGUAGCAGAGAACCUCCUCUAGGGUGGCAUGACACCCAGGCAGAAGCAGAGAACCUCCUCUAGGGGUGGCAUGACACCCAGGCAGUAGCAGAGAACCUCCUCUAAGGGUGGCAUGACACUCAGGCAGAAGCAGAGAACCUCCUCUAGGGUAGAAUGACACCCAGGCAGUAGCAGAGAACCUCCUCUAGGGGUGGCAUGACACCCAGGCAGUAGCAGAGAACCUCUAAGGGGUGGCAUGACACCCAGGGAGUAGCAGAGAACCUCCUCUAGGGGUGACAUGACACCCAGGCAGUAGCAGAGAACCUCCUCUAGGGGUGACAUGACACCCAGGCAGUAGCAGAGAACCUCCUCUAGGGGUGACAUGACACCCAGGCAGUAGCAGAUAACCCAGUCGAGGUAUCAAACGCAGCGACAGGAGAUUGAGGGUAGGAGAGGGUAUGACCCAACAUUUUUACUUAUGCUCUAUUGGAAUAAGAGUUGGCAUAAGGCAGACCUGGCAGAUAUUAGAGAGCUGGUGAGCUUUCCUGCAGCCUAGCCUAAUGGAUAUAUUAUCUGGGGAGCCAGUUUCCCAGCUUCAAGUGUGUGUGUGUGUGCGUGUGUGUGUGCGUGUGUGUGUGGUAUGGUCUGUGUUUGUAAAUGUUCAGACUUUUAAUAUAUAAAAACAUCCUUUUCAAGUCAUUACUUCAGAGUCAUAAGUUAUUGUUCUAAUAUCACUUAGUUUGUCAGGCAUCAAUCUUAGCCUGUGUGUGUGCAUGAUGAGGGGGGUCUCGUCUAGACUAAGCGAGCUGUUAGUGAUUCUUAGUAAGGAUUAUUUCUCUUUCUGAAAGGAGCAACCCCUUAAACCUCUAUCCCCCCAACCUUACCCUCCCCUAAUUUACAAGCUGACUGAGGGAGGAUUUGUGACUGAUGGGCCCUUCACCUCUGACCUGCCAUUUAUAUCAAUGAGACACCUACCGUAAAGACUCUCCGAGGCGGUUUUGCGAACACAAAUUAAGCCUAGCCCUGGACAUGGAGAUUCUCCAUUGAGCUUACUUUUGGGUCCAGGGUGGCAGGUAGCAUAGUGGUUAGAGUGUUGGGCCAAUAACCAAAAGGUUUCUGGAUUGAAUCCCCGAGCUGACAAGGUAUAAAUCUGUCCUUCUGCCCCUGAACAAGACAGUUAACCCACUGUUCCUCGGUACGCCGACAUUGUACAAUUUGAGGAACAGUUUGAGAACGAGAGGAACUACAAGGUAAGAAAAAUACUUAAAUAUGAGGAACAAGUUAGUGUUAAGAAAUAUUGUUAACUGUGAAGUAUAUUAAAAAAUCUGUGUUUGGAAAACUGUCCUUCAGAGUAGGAGAGCAGAUCUUGGAUCAGGUCCCACCCCCUGUCCAUAUAAUUGUAUUAAUUAUGAUCUUAAAGACAACACUGAUCCUAUAUCAGCACUCCUACUCUGAGAAUCUUUGUGGGUAUGGUUCUUGGGAUCAUAGAGGUAGGAAUUGCUGACUGUACCCACUAUCAGGCAGCACUUUGUUGUUGUUUUGGAUCACAUGCCUGAUUCAAUGGUUUGCUUGUUGCCCUUUUUAGGUCAACUGUGAUUUGAGGUGCAGGUCAGUGCUUGAAUAUAAUGCAACCUCUGAUUCUAUGCAGCUAUUUUUAUCCAGCUAUCUCUAGCCAAUGUCUCAUUUACGCUCCGAUGCCACUGGUGGUGAAAAUUCCAUUGACUGAGUGCUCAAGUCAAUCAAAUAUGCAUUGUAUUCACACAGUGGCUCAUUUUCCUAUGGUCAAAUAAAAUUAUAAAAUAAUCACAUGUAAGUGCUUCCAGUUUUCAGAAUAAGACGUUUUCUGCGAUGGCAGCAGUUUGUAAAAAAAAAUGUGCUGUGUAACAUUGCUACAGCGGGUUCACUGGGUUUAAGCAUUUAACCUCUUUCAGAUGCUUUUCCAUUGAAGAACUCUGUUUGUUUACUACUCCCCAUGAACACAGACACUGCAUGGUGGGUUUGAUUGAAUUAUAUUUGAUUUGUUUUUUUGUGUCUCCCUCUUAUCAG
ensembl:lncRNA